rnacentral:rRNA from 1 species
CGCGGCCUAUCAGCUUGUUGGUGGGGUAGUGGCUUACCAAGGCUUUGACGGGUAGCCGGCCUGAGAGGGUGACCGGCCACAUUGGGACUGAGAUACGGCCCAGACUCCUACGGGAGGCAGCAGUGGGGAAUAUUGCACAAUGGGCGGAAGCCUGAUGCAGCAACGCCGCGUGCGGGAUGACGGCCUUCGGGUUGUAAACCGCUUUCGCCUGUGACGAAGCGUGAGUGACGGUAAUGGGUAAAGAAGCACCGGCUAACUACGUGCCAGCAGCCGCGGUGAUACGUAGGGUGCGAGCGUUGUCCGGAUUUAUUGGGCGUAAAGGGCUCGUAGGUGGUUGAUCGCGUCGGAAGUGUAAUCUUGGGGCUUAACCCUGAGCGUGCUUUCGAUACGGGUUGACUUGAGGAAGGUAGGGGAGAAUGGAAUUCCUGGUGGAGCGGUGGAAUGCGCAAAUAUCAGGAGGAACACCAGUGGCGAAGGCGGUUCUCUGGGCCUUUCCUGACGCUGAGGAGCGAAAGCGUGGGGAGCGAACAGGCUUAGAUACCCUGGUAGUCCACGCUGUAAACGGUGGGUACUAGGUGUGGGGUCCAUUCCACGGGUUCCGUGCCGUAGCUAACGCUUUAAGUACCCCGCCUGGGGAGUACGG